rnacentral:sRNA from 1 species
AUGCAUUUUGGGGGGGUACCUACGUCAACUUCGGUGACUCAUACUUUAUCUAGGCCUGUUAAUUCAGCGGGUACUAUUAGUUCUGUCCCAGGUACAGCUAUGGGCUUGAACUUGCCAGGUUCUAGACCCCCAUUAUCCUAUUGUGGGUAUAUGCUUCCCAACACGGGCACACAACCUUUACCCUCAUGGUCUCAGCCACCUUGGCCACAGUCUUACCCUUAUGGUGGGUUUAUGCCAAACCAACCUGGUUUUUGGCCUUAUAGGGACAAUUUCUAUGGUCCCCCUUCUGGGGUAGCUACUGCACCACCUUUAGCUCCUGCUCUACCCGUAGCAGUAUCUUUGACUUCUGCAGUAGCUCCUUCUACCACCGUACCUGACUCUCAAGCUUCUAGUUCUUCUCAUGGUACUCAGGUUUCUGAUCAUGCAUCACCUUUGGAUGGUUUACAGAAGUUACUUUUGGACUUUGGUGAGUCUUUCAAGGCUGAAUUUAGUACUCUAUCCAGUCGUAUGACUCUACUGGAGAAAUAGAGUUUCUUCUCAUCAACCUUCUCCAGCUAAGUCUGUAGAAUGUGAUGAGAGGGAGGAUGACGAGCUUUCUGUUUCCCCUGGGAGUCAUGAAAGGGCUUUCCUCACUGAUGAGGAUGUUGAAAGUUCUUCUUCUCCCAAGGUAUCGAAGACGGCCCCUGAGCCUUCUUCUAAGUCAGCUCAACAACCUCCCACCAAGGAGACUGAGGAUCCUCCUUCCUUGAAGGAUCUUAGGGAUAAGGUGUAUACCUUGAUGAGGGAUGAAGCACAUAUCCCUUUUGCCUCUCCUUCCAAGCCGAAGAAACCUUCUUCAACUUUUGAAGCUUCCUGUGGUAUUUCUCAGGAUACUGUGACUUCUCACAAUUCUUUUCCUGAAUCUGGCCAUAUGGCUUUUGCUUUACAAUUUAUUAAUGAAGGUAUCGCUAAUUCUGCUAGUGAAAAGGUUGCUAAUAACAAUAUCUCAGGAUUUGGAAUGUCAUCCUUUUCUGAUCAGGUUAAGUACAAGGAUUUUGAUAUCUUUGAUUCUUCACUGGGUAGACUUGUUCCCAGUUGUGACAAAUCUAUGUCAUCUUUAUUGGGAAAAAAGCCAGUAGAUGGUCUUCGUCUCACUCAACCUGUUUGGUCAAAGACUGAGAAUCUCCUUCGUAGUGCUUCUCAAGUUCUUGGCACAGCCGAACAUUUUCUAGCUGCAACCGGACAUUUGCUUAACAGCGAAGAUUCGGUUGUUCCAGCAGAAGUACGAUCCUUCUUACUUCAACUGGAUAAAGCUUUAGGUUCAUCUCAGUUGCUUUUAAUGGGUUCUAUUGCUAAUUGCACCCUAUCUAAAAGAGCAGAGUUUCUUGAAAACAUUUCUAUCGCUGAGCCUUUGAAAGAUUCUUUACUGAAAUCUCCACUCUCUGACAAGAUGUUUGGUUUACCCUUACAGCGGGUUCAAGAGGAACUCAGCAAAAACCCUCCUCCAGUCAAAGUUAGUGUACAAGUUACUAAUGGCAAGAGGUCGGUUAAUGCUACAUCUAGUUCUACUAGUACUUCUGCUUCAGGUGGUCCUCCUUCUUCUGCUAAGAAAAGGAAGAAUAACUACGGCAAACCGCAGAACAAACCCAAUAACUCAGGAAAAAGCUCAGGUAAGCCUUCUGGUGGUUUUAAGGGUUCCAAGAAACCUGGGUCUAGUACCUAGGUUCUUGCCCCCUCGUACGUUAUUGACAGCUUCCCCAGGGGAAAAUUUACAACAAGUUCCUCAAAAAUCAAUACCAGUAGGGGGGAGGUUAAGUUUUUUCCUAAAUCAGUGGAAGAAAAUUACCUCAGACUGUUAUGUGCUGUCAAUAAUUCGAGGGGGAUUAACACUUCAGUUCAAGAACCCACCUCCUCUGUCUGCAGUUCCAAUAAGUUUGUCUCUCAUACUCAAGACCCAGUCAAAGUGUCAACUUCUAUCAGUAGAAGUGGACACAAUGUUACAAAAAGCUGCAAUAGAGGAGGUGUCGAUCUUAACUCUGUCUCCGGGAUUUUAUUCCCGUCUUUUUCUGGUUCCAAAGAAGACUGGAGGAAUGAGGCCGGUCAUAGACCUAUCUAUUCUGAACAAAUUUCUUAUUGUUCCCCACUUCAAAAUGGAAACAAACAGAUCCAUCAGGGCUUCAAUCCUUCCAGGAAUGUGGACUACUUCUCUGGAUCUUUCAGACGCGUAUUUCCACAUUCCCAUUUCCAAACUUACAGGAAAUACCUUCGCUUCGUUUGGAACAACAAAGUUUUCCAGUUCAAGGCUCUCCCUUUUGGCCUGUCUACAGCCCCUUUGGCUUUUACCAAAAUCAUGCAGGCAGCUAUAGCUCACCUACAUUCCCUGUCUAUUCAGAUUCAUUCCUACCUGGACGAUUCCCUUCUCAAGGAAUUUUGCCCAAUCAAAUUGAGGGUUCAGACAGAUUUGGUCAUCAAUUGUUUUCUGUCCCUAGGUUUCCUUAUCUCUUGGAAAAAGUCAGAGAUAAUUCCGUCUCAAGACUUUGUUUUCCUGGGAGAACAUUUCCUAACCAGUGUAGGCCUAGUCCUCCCACCAGAGGAGAAAUUUACAAAACUAUGUCAGAAAAUACAUUUAUUCCUGACGGUUCAAUCAGUCACAGCACGUCAAUUCUUGCAACUUCUGGGUCUAUUGAACUCUCUGGCAGAUGUAAUUCCAUUGGGACGACUUCACAUUCGUCCGCUUCAGUUUUAUCUGCACAAGUUAUGGAUUGCAGCUUCACAAGAAUGGGAAGCAUUGAUUCCAAUCACUCAGCCUUUAUUUCCACACCUUCAAUGGUGGUUAGUACGGGAAAAUGUAAUGAGGGGCCUAUGUCUGUUCCCUCAAGUUCCCAGUCUAACAUUAUUCACAGAUGCCUCCACCCUCGGUUGGGGAGCAUAUCUGGAGGGGCUUACAAUCUCGGGAGUCUGGAGUCCAGAUCUUUUGGAAGAGCAUAUCAAUGUAUUGGAAAUGAAAGCAGUUCUGUUUGCACUGAAUCAUUUCCAAAUGUCUCUAAAGAAUCAGUCUGUCAUUCUGGCCACGGACAACACAACAGUUGUAGCUUAUCUCAAGAAUCAGGGAGGAACUCAUUCACCUUCUCUUUAUCAGAUAGCCAGAGACAUUCUCCUUCUGUGUUUUCAACUCCAGGUUCAUCUAGUGGUGAGACAUAUUGCGGGGCACCUCAAUAUUCUAGCCGACACUCUAUCCAGAUCCCUUGCUCCAGUAAACACGGAGUGGGAACUACUUCAAGUAGUUUUCAAAGCUGUGACUCUUCAUUGGGGGUCACCUCAGAUAGAUCUGUUUGCGACCAGUCUCAAUCACAAACUUCUAACAUUUGUGUCUCCGGUUCCGGAUCCAAAAUCUUUUGCGGUAGACGCAAUGAGCCUAUCUUGGAAAGGAAUGUUCGGGUACGCCUUCCCUCCUUUCAGGUUUCUCUCCCCAGUACUUCAGAAAAUAGCAGGGGAAAAUUGCAAGAUCAUAGUUAUUGCUCCAGCAUGGCCAAAACAGUCUUGGUUUCCAGACCUUCUGCGCCUUUCAUGUGCUUGUCCUCUAGUUCUACCUCUGAGACCAGACCUUCUGUCUCAAAUCAAGGGCAAGGUUCUUUAUCAAAAUCCAGAAAAACUUCAUCUACACGCCUGGCUUCUCUCAGGGUUAGCCUCAGAAAGAGAGGUUUUUCUGAAGGAGCAACCAAGCAUCUCACAAAGUCUGUCAGAGACUCCACUAGCAUUGUCUAUGAUGCAAAAUGGUCAAUCUUCUCAGAUUGGUGUAGUGAGCGGGAAAUUGAUCCUUUCCAAGUCACUGUACAACAAUUAGCAGACUUUCUAGUUUUUUCUUUUGAAUCCAAAGGAUUAUGUCCCUCUACUAUUAAGGGAUAUAGAUCAGCUAUCUCAAGAACUAUUCAUAUUUCUGGUGGCCCAGAUUUUGGAAUCAAUGAGCAUAUUUCUCUUUUGGUUCGUAGUUUUAGUCUUGAAAGACCAAGACAAAAAACUUUAGUUCCUAAGUGGGACCUUGGACUAGUUUUAUCCUUUUUAAAACUUCCUCCUUUUGAACCAGCAGAAACAAUAGAUUUAAGGUUUCUUUCCUAUAAAUGCUGUUUUCUUUUAGCUUUGGCUUCUGGACGGAGAAGGAGUGAAAUCCAUGCCUUCUCUAUUUCUGAUGCUUGCCUUCGAUUUAACAGGGAUAAAUCUUCUGUUACUCUUUUAACGGAUCCUGCUUUUUUGGCAAAGAAUCAGAUUCCAGAUAAGGGUGCAGAACCAGUUGUGAUUCCUGCACUCCCUAGCGAUUCUAUUUCUGUACUUUUAUGUCCAGUAAGAAUCCUUUCUAUUUAUCUGGAAAGAACGUGUAGUUUACGUUCUGUUUCUAACUCAAGACUCUUUAUUCCUAUUAAAAAAGGAAUCUCAGAUCUUUCUGUUAAAACUAUUUCUACUUGGAUAUGCAAAUGCAUAUCUUUAGCUUAUGGUUCUUCUAAGGCAGAACUUUUAAAUAGUUUUAAUGUUAAAGCCCAUGAUGUUAGGGGUAUCUCUACAUCCUGGGCUCUGUUUAACAGUGCAUCUUUAGAAGAGGUACUGUCUGCAGGUUUCUGGAGAAAUGAGAACUCUUUUAUAUCUCACUACCUCCAAUCUAUGGCUACUUUUGCCGAGAGUUUAUACUCUCUUGGACCUAUAGUUUCAGCACAAAGAUUGAACUUUCCUCCUGUUUCUUCUGUUACAGGGGAUUCAGCUUUACGUUAG